UGAAUGUCAGGGUGCUGAUUGGCUGCUUCUGAAAUAGUGCUCUAAAUUAUCACCGCCAUGAAAAGGAAUACAGACUCUUUGUAUGCAAGGGGGAAAAGUGUGUCAGAAGAGUCCCUUCAUUCCAAAUAUGAAGAAGAUCGAAUUUUUCAGGAAAUUGAACCAUGUCCAGUAAGGAGACUUUCUUGCAGAGCCAUCCAUCUUCCACCUCUGGCUUUCAGGCUUGCAGAACAAACAGAACUGGAAAGGAAAUCAGAUUCAGAGAAUCCACAGAGGCCGAUCUCUUUAGCCCUGAGGAUCCCCCCACUAAUUGCAAUCACAGCUGCCGAGAACACCAGGUAG